CAAGUACUCCCUCCGUCCGGAAUUACUUGUCAUCAAAAUGGAUGUGUCUAGAACUAAAAUAGAUCUAGAUACAUCCAUUUCAAUGACAAGUAUUUUCGGACGGAGGGAGUACAAG
rnacentral:pre_miRNA from 1 species